AUACGGAGGGUGCAAGCGUUAAUCGGAAUUACUGGGCGUAAAGCGCGCGUAGGCGGCUUGAUAAGUCGGAUGUGAAAUCCCCGGGCUUAACCUGGGAACUGCAUUCGAAACUGUCAGACUCGAGUAUGGUAGAGGGUAGUGGAAUUCCCGGUGUAGCGGUGAAAUGCGUAGAGAUCUGAAGGAACACCAGUGGCGAAGGCGACUCCCUGGACUCGAACUGACGCUGAGGUACGAAAGCGUGGGUAGCAAACGGGAUUAGAAACCCUAGUAGUCC
rnacentral:rRNA from 1 species